AGUCUUAGAAAAUGGCAUAUCCG
rnacentral:siRNA from 1 species